rnacentral:lncRNA from 1 species
GCAACCCAAAUCCUGUUCUGGGCGCCUGAAACUGGCAAAACUCUAGUUUUGCUCCUUUGAGUACGCUAAGUCCAUCUGCAUCCAUUUCGUGCGGAAACGACUCCGACUCAGUCCGACACCAAUCAGAUGUGUCGACCAGUUACUAAUAUUGUAACCAAUCCUAUCAAACCUCAGGAACACUACAAUCCAGCAUUAUAUUAUUGUAUUAAACCAAACGCGCUAAUGCAGUAUCAGUAGUAAUCUUAUUUAGAAAUUCAAGAUAUCUGAAUAUAUUGAAAUACUCUGUAAUAUUAUAAAAUUCGAAUCAAACGAGCCCUUCAAUGUUCAGAGCACAUAAC